rnacentral:rRNA from 1 species
GGUUAAACUAUUAAGGGCAUAUGGUGGAUGCCUUGGCAAUAAGGGCCGAAGAAGGGCGUAGCAAGUCUGCGAUAAGCCUCGACUAGCUGUCUAGCAAGCUUAAUCGGGGAUUCCCGAAUGUGGAAACACAUCUUUUGAGAUACAAGCACGUUUACGUGUUUGAGGUAAGUGGGGGAACUGAAACAUCUAAGUACCCUGAGGAAAAAAAAUCGAAUGAGAUUCCCGGAGUAGCGGUGAGCGAAAUGGGAAUAGCCUAAACUUUUAGAUCUUAACGGGUUGGAGCCUUACGAUCUAAUUUGGUUGUAGGAGUCUAUAUGAGCAUCUCCAAGUGCUCAGAAAAGUAAAAAAUUAUUCCUUUAUAAGAAUGAAGUUUGGAAAAACCAGCCAUAGAGGGUGAUAGCCCCGUAUUUUAAAGAGGAGUAACUUUUCAUAGAUUUCCUGAGUACCACGGGACACGUGAAAUCCUGUGGGAAUCUGGGGAGACCACUCUCCAAGGCUAAAUAC